rnacentral:rRNA from 1 species
GACGAGGGGUCCUAGCGUUGUUCGGAAUCAUUGGGCGUAAAGCGUGUGUAGGUGGCUAUUCAAGUCAGUUGUGAAAGCCCCGGGCUUAACCCGGGAAGUGCUUCUGAUACUGUUUAGCUUGAGUACUGGAGAGGAUAGUAGAAUUCCUGGUGUAGUGGUGAAAUACGUAGAUAUCAGGAGGAAUACCGGUGGCGAAGGCGGCUAUCUGGCCAUGUACUGACACUGAGACACGAAAAGCGUGGGGGAGCAAACAGG